GGUAGGAAACAGAUACCAAUAAUUACGUUCCGGAAUCUUUGACUGGAUGGAUCCUGCCUGUUUCCGCUUUGGUGGACUCAGUGUCAGGGAUCUGUAAAGAUGCAAAUCGGAGAAAGUGAACAGGAUAAACAACUGAACUGAUUGGAGCAAUAGAGAACUGACAGAACACCCUGCCCUUCCGCGAGUGACGGAGCGAGCCUGCAGCGCUUGUCUUUUUUUACAGUUACUCCUGGUCAAGGUCUGGGCUAGGCGUUCCAAGUUCUUCUCCUUAACAAAGCAUUGAAAGUGAAAGACACCCGGAGCGGGGAGACCCUCACUCAAGUCUCGGGAUGACACGAUCCCCCAAGAACUCACACAAGACCAUCCUUGCUGUAAUCACAUGAGGUUUAUCAAUAGGAACCAGUGCACUGGGGUUGAGACUCGUAUCCCACGCAGGGGCACGGGUGUUCGACCACCAGUAGCUAAGACAAGGGGAAUUUAAAGGAAGAAACCGCAACCCAAGGGGGUAGGGAGGGCGUCAUUGGAAAAUGUCGAAAAUACCAGUGAAAAAUCACAAGGAGGAGCUUCCUGCUUCUCAAGAUUGUUUAACUUUAUGGUCCGCUAGUUCCUGGGAGAAGCUGCUUCCUGCUUCUCAAGAUUGUUCUCUAAGAUUCUAAUCUAACUUCAUGAUCAGAUAGUUCCUGGGAGAAAGCUGUUGAACCGGCUGAUGUAAUUACCUAUUCUAUAGCCCUAUGAGAGGCUUCCUGGAACAUACAAUUCUGGGGCCUAACCUGUUCUGCUCUAAACUUUGUGUCUAGGGGUACAACUUUAAAACUUUUACCUUUCACAGGGAUUUUCUGAGGGACAUCCACAUAAAACCUGAUCCUCUCAUGAAACUUGGGGCUGGCAGAUAUAACGAUAUUUGUAACAUUUGUGUCUUUCAAACUGACUCUCAGAUUGUUUGAAAUAAUGGAACUUAAGAAUGGGGUUUCCUCAGGAAUCUCAUGGUGGGAGAUAGAAGGCACACCAGUCAGAGGAGUAACUUGUCUCGCUGAAAGGGAUUUCAAACAGUUCUAACAUCUUAUCAAACCACCUUAUAGGGGGGAGCUAAAUCUCAGAGAGUGGUGAGUGUGCCACCCCUUGAGAAGUACUGCUGGGAUGUACACGUCCUUCUAUUUAAGUUUUGAUUUACUUCAGGACCCUAAAGGUGGACUUGAGACAUUUUCUGGAUCUCUGUCCUCCCUUUCCAAUGUGAGCACAUUAAAUACAUCCUUUUUUUCCUUUUCGCUUUUAAUUUGGUUCUUUUAAUAGGCUCAUUAGGGAAGGGUGGCCAGACCUGACUUGGUGCAAAUUAUGAUGCCCAACUUACUUGUUAGAAAACAGUCUGGGACAAUAAAUAAAGAAGUAAAUAUUUGAAAAAGAACAAAUCACUCCCCCACUCAGCCAUUUAGAGAGAAAGGUACUACUGAGAGACAGAUAGACAGACAGAUGGGCAGAGAAGAGAUAUUACCACCUUACAUCAUCUGUAUGGCAAAUGUCACCUUUAAACCCUUUGUGUUACUAAGCAUUCCUCAUAUCCUAAAGAAAUAAACCGUCUGUCUUUCAUUUUUUCCUCAACUAGAUACACUUAA